UUAAGCGACUAAGCGUACACGGUGGAUGCCCUGGCAGUCAGAGGCGAUGAAGGACGUGCUAAUCUGCGAUAAGCGUCGGUAAGGUGAUAUGAACCGUUAUAACCGGCGAUUUCCGAAUGGGGAAACCCAGUGUGUUUCGACACACUAUCAUUAACUGAAUCCAUAGGUUAAUGAGGCGAACCGGGGGAACUGAAACAUCUAAGUACCCCGAGGAAAAGAAAUCAACCGAGAUUCCCCCAGUAGCGGCGAGCGAACGGGGAGCAGCCCAGAGCCUGAAUCAGUAUGUGUGUUAGUGGAAGCGUCUGGAAAGGCGCGCGAUACAGGGUGACAGCCCCGUACACAAAAAUGCACAUAUUGUGAGCUCGAUGAGUAGGGCGGGACACGUGGUAUCCUGUCUGAAUAUGGGGGGACCAUCCUCCAAGGCUAAAUACUCCUGACUGACCGAUAGUGAACCAGUACCGUGAGGGAAAGGCGAAAAGAACCCCGGCGAGGGGAGUGAAAAAGAACCUGAAACCGUGUACGUACAAGCAGUGGGAGCACGCUUAGGCGUGUGACUGCGUACCUUUUGUAUAAUGGGUCAGCGACUUAUAUUCUGUAGCAAGGUUAACCGAAUAGGGGAGCCGAAGGGAAACCGAGUCUUAACUGGGCGUUAAGUUGCAGGGUAUAGACCCGAAACCCGGUGAUCUAGCCAUGGGCAGGUUGAAGGUUGGGUAACACUAACUGGAGGACCGAACCGACUAAUGUUGAAAAAUUAGCGGAUGACUUGUGGCUGGGGGUGAAAGGCCAAUCAAACCGGGAGAUAGCUGGUUCUCCCCGAAAGCUAUUUAGGUAGCGCCUCGUGAAUUCAUCUCCGGGGGUAGAGCACUGUUUCGGCAAGGGGGUCAUCCCGACUUACCAACCCGAUGCAAACUGCGAAUACCGGAGAAUGUUAUCACGGGAGACACACGGCGGGUGCUAACGUCCGUCGUGAAGAGGGAAACAACCCAGACCGCCAGCUAAGGUCCCAAAGUCAUGGUUAAGUGGGAAACGAUGUGGGAAGGCCCAGACAGCCAGGAUGUUGGCUUAGAAGCAGCCAUCAUUUAAAGAAAGCGUAAUAGCUCACUGGUCGAGUCGGCCUGCGCGGAAGAUGUAACGGGGCUAAACCAUGCACCGAAGCUGCGGCAGCGACGCUUAUGCGUUGUUGGGUAGGGGAGCGUUCUGUAAGCCUGUGAAGGUGUACUGUGAGGUAUGCUGGAGGUAUCAGAAGUGCGAAUGCUGACAUAAGUAACGAUAAAGCGGGUGAAAAGCCCGCUCGCCGGAAGACCAAGGGUUCCUGUCCAACGUUAAUCGGGGCAGGGUGAGUCGACCCCUAAGGCGAGGCCGAAAGGCGUAGUCGAUGGGAAACAGGUUAAUAUUCCUGUACUUGGUGUUACUGCGAAGGGGGGACGGAGAAGGCUAUGUUGGCCGGGCGACGGUUGUCCCGGUUUAAGCGUGUAGGCUGGUUUUCCAGGCAAAUCCGGAAAAUCAAGGCUGAGGCGUGAUGACGAGGCACUACGGUGCUGAAGCAACAAAUGCCCUGCUUCCAGGAAAAGCCUCUAAGCAUCAGGUAACAUCAAAUCGUACCCCAAACCGACACAGGUGGUCAGGUAGAGAAUACCAAGGCGCUUGAGAGAACUCGGGUGAAGGAACUAGGCAAAAUGGUGCCGUAACUUCGGGAGAAGGCACGCUGAUAUGUAGGUGAAGCGACUUGCUCGUGGAGCUGAAAUCAGUCGAAGAUACCAGCUGGCUGCAACUGUUUAUUAAAAACACAGCACUGUGCAAACACGAAAGUGGACGUAUACGGUGUGACGCCUGCCCGGUGCCGGAAGGUUAAUUGAUGGGGUUAGCGCAAGCGAAGCUCUUGAUCGAAGCCCCGGUAAACGGCGGCCGUAACUAUAACGGUCCUAAGGUAGCGAAAUUCCUUGUCGGGUAAGUUCCGACCUGCACGAAUGGCGUAAUGAUGGCCAGGCUGUCUCCACCCGAGACUCAGUGAAAUUGAACUCGCUGUGAAGAUGCAGUGUACCCGCGGCAAGACGGAAAGACCCCGUGAACCUUUACUAUAGCUUGACACUGAACAUUGAGCCUUGAUGUGUAGGAUAGGUGGGAGGCUUUGAAGUGUGGACGCCAGUCUGCAUGGAGCCGACCUUGAAAUACCACCCUUUAAUGUUUGAUGUUCUAACGUUGACCCGUAAUCCGGGUUGCGGACAGUGUCUGGUGGGUAGUUUGACUGGGGCGGUCUCCUCCUAAAGAGUAACGGAGGAGCACGAAGGUUGGCUAAUCCUGGUCGGACAUCAGGAGGUUAGUGCAAUGGCAUAAGCCAGCUUGACUGCGAGCGUGACGGCGCGAGCAGGUGCGAAAGCAGGUCAUAGUGAUCCGGUGGUUCUGAAUGGAAGGGCCAUCGCUCAACGGAUAAAAGGUACUCCGGGGAUAACAGGCUGAUACCGCCCAAGAGUUCAUAUCGACGGCGGUGUUUGGCACCUCGAUGUCGGCUCAUCACAUCCUGGGGCUGAAGUAGGUCCCAAGGGUAUGGCUGUUCGCCAUUUAAAGUGGUACGCGAGCUGGGUUUAGAACGUCGUGAGACAGUUCGGUCCCUAUCUGCCGUGGGCGCUGGAGAACUGAGGGGGGCUGCUCCUAGUACGAGAGGACCGGAGUGGACGCAUCACUGGUGUUCGGGUUGUCAUGCCAAUGGCACUGCCCGGUAGCUAAAUGCGGAAGAGAUAAGUGCUGAAAGCAUCUAAGCACGAAACUUGCCCCGAGAUGAGUUCUCCCUGACUCCUUGAGAGUCCUGAAGGAACGUUGAAGACGACGACGUUGAUAGGCCGGGUGUGUAAGCGCAGCGAUGCGUUGAGCUAACCGGUACUAAUGAACCGUGAGGCUUAACCUU
rnacentral:rRNA from 1 species